rnacentral:snoRNA from 1 species
AAUGUGGUUAAUGAUGCUGAACUUUUUUCCCCAUCUUAUCGACCGUGGUGAAUACUGACUGAAACUAAGCCAGUUUUGUCUGAAACCACAUU